CCUACGGGCGGCAGCAGUGGGGAAUAUUGGACAAUGGGGGAAACCCUGAUCCAGCGACGCCGCGUGAGUGAAGAAGUAUUUCGGUACGUACAGCUCUAUCAGCAGGAAAGAAAAUGACGGUACCUGACUAAUAAGCCCCGGCUACCUACGUGCCAGCAGCCGCGGUAAUACGGAGGGGGCAAGCGGUAGCCGGAUUGACUGGGUGUAAAGGGAGUGUCGACGGCAGCGCAAGUCUGGAGUGAACUGCCGGGGCCCAACCCCGGAACUGCUCUGGAAACUGUGAAGCUGGAGUGCAGGAGAGGUAAGCGGAAGUCCUGGGGUAGCGGUGAAAUGCGUAGAUAUCAGGAGGAACACCGGCGGCGAAGGCGGCGUACUGGACUGUAACUGACGUUGAGGCUCGAAGGCGUGGGGAGCAAACAGGAUUAGAUACCCUUGUAGUC
rnacentral:rRNA from 1 species